GAUGAACGCUGGCGGCGUGCUUAACACAUGCAAGUCGAACGGAAAGGCCGAAGCUUGCUUCGGUACUCGAGUGGCGAACGGGUGAGUAACACGUGGGUGAUCUGCCCUGUACUUCGGGAUAAGCUUGGGAAACUGGGUCUAAUACCGGAUAUGACGAUCUCUUGGAUGGGGUUGUGGAAAGCUUUUGCGGUAUGGGAUGAGCUCGCGGCCUAUCAGCUUGUUGGUGGGGUAAUGGCCUACCAAGGCGUCGACGGGUAGCCGGCCUGAGAGGGUGUACGGCCACAUUGGGACUGGGAGACGGCCCAGACUCCUACGGGAGGCAGCAGUGGGGAAUAUUGCACAAUGGGCGCAAGCCUGAUGCAGCGACGCCGCGUGGGGGAUGACGGCCUUCGGGUUGUAAACUCCUUUCGCAAUCGACGAAGCCUUUUGGUGACGGUAGGUUGAGAAGAAGCACCGGCUAACUACGUG
rnacentral:rRNA from 1 species